rnacentral:rRNA from 1 species
CAGCAGCCGCGGUAAUACGGAGGGUGCAAGCGUUAUCCGGAUUCACUGGGUUUAAAGGGUGUGUAGGCGGGCAUUUAAGUCUGGGGUGAAAUCUCCGAGCUCAACUCGGAAACUGCCUUGGAUACUAUUUGUCUUGAAUUAUGUUGAGGUAGGCGGAAUAUAACAUGUAGCGGUGAAAUGCAUAGAUAUGUUAUAGAACACCGAUUGCGAAGGCAGCUUACUAAGCAUAUAUUGACGCUGAGGCACGAAAGCGUGGGGAUCAAACAGGAUUAGAUACCCUGGUAGUCCACGCCCUAAACGAUGAUUACUCGUCAUUUGUGAUACACUAUAAGUGACCAAGCGAAAGCGUUAAGUAAUCCACCUGGGAAGUACGUCCGCAAGGAUGAAACUCAAAGGAAU